ensembl:snRNA U6 U6 spliceosomal RNA
UUGCUUCAUUCAGCAGCAUAUAUUCUAAAAGUGGACCAAUGCAGAAAAGAUUAGCAUUGCCACUGUGUAAGGAUGACAUGCAAAUUGGUGAAGCAUUCCAUAUUAUA